rnacentral:rRNA from 1 species
UACCAGCACCCCGAGUGGUCGGGACGUUUAUUGGGCGUAAAGAGCUCGUAGGCGGCUUGUCGCGUCGUCCGUGGAAACUUGGGGCUCAACCCCGAGCCUGCUUCCGAUACGGGCAGACUAGAGGUAGGCAGGGGAGAGCGGAACUCCUGGUGUAGCGGUGGAAUGCGCAGAUAUCAGGAAGAACACCGGUGGCGAAGGCGGCUCUCUGGGCCUUACCUGACGCUGAGGAGCGAAAGCGUGGGUAGCGAACAGG